rnacentral:rRNA from 1 species
CCUACGGGUGGCAGCAGUGAGGAAUAUUGGUCAAUGGACGAGAGUCUGAACCAGCCAAGUAGCGUGAAGGAUGACUGCCCUAUGGGUUGUAAACUUCUUUUAUAUGGGAAUAAAAUGUUCCACGUGUGGGCUUUUGUAUGUACCAUAUGAAUAAGGAUCGGCUAACUCCGGUCCAGCAGCCGCGGUAAUACGGGGGAUCCGAGCGUUAUCCGGGUUUAUUGGGUUUAAAGGGAGCGUAGGUGGAUUGUUAAGUCAGGUGUGAAAGUUUGCGGCUCAACCGUAAAAUUGCAGUUGAAACUGGCAGUCUUGAGUACAGUAGAGGUGGGCGGAAUGCGUGGUGUAGCGGUGAAAUGCUUAGAUAUCACGAAGAACUACGAUUGCGAAGGCAGCUCACUGGACUGCAACUGACACUGAGGCUCGAAAGUGUGGGUAUCAAACAGGAUUAGAUACCCGAGUAGUC